GUGUUUUGUACCCUAAAGCAGAUAGCCAAUGAUCUGGUGGUGCCAAGGGUAGGAGGUACCUGGUGAGAAGUGUGGGUUUCCGGACUUUGUUGGGGUAUUCUAUAACUUGCCAGCCAGCAGUCAGUACGAGAGAGCACGUGAGGGAGUAUCUCCUGCUUGUGGAAAGCACAGAACGCUCCGGAUGUCGCCCGGUUUGAUUAUGUUAACAAAGACCUCCAGGCAGAGAUUUGCUGGGCUGCCAUGCUGAUUUAUGUGGAAGAGGGUAGAUGUGCCAGUUAUGGACGAUUGACAUAAUGUGAAAUGGUAAAUAUAUAAGCACAUUUA